AGAGUUUGAUCCUGGCUCAGAUUGAACGCUGGCGGAACGCUUUACACAUGCAAGUCGAACGGUAACGCGGAGAGAAGCUUGCUUCUCUCCGGCGACGAGUGGCGAACGGGUGAGUAAUACAUCGGAACGUGUCCGCUCGUGGGGGACAACCAGCCGAAAGGUUGGCUAAUACCGCAUGAGUUCUACGGAAGAAAGAGGGGGACCCGCAAGGGCCUCUCGCGAGCGGAGCGGCCGAUGACUGAUUAGCCGGUUGGUGAGGUAACGGCUCACCAAAGCAACGAUCAGUAGCUGGUCUGAGAGGACGACCAGCCACACUGGGACUGAGACACGGCCCAGACUCCUACGGGAGGCAGCAGUGGGGAAUUUUGGACAAUGGGCGCAAGCCUGAUCCAGCUAUUCCGCGUGUGGGAUGAAGGCCCUCGGGUUGUAAACCACUUUUGUAGAGAACGAAAAGACACCUUCGAAUAAAGGGUGUUGCUGACGGUACUCUAAGAAUAAGCACCGGCUAACUACGUGCCAGCAGCCGCGGUAAUACGUAGGGUGCGAGCGUUAAUCGGAAUUACUGGGCGUAAAGGGUGCGCAGGCGGUUGAGUAAGACAGAUGUGAAAUCCCCGAGCUUAACUCGGGAAUGGCAUAUGUGACUGCUCGACUAGAGUGUGUCAGAGGGAGGUGGAAUUCCACGUGUAGCAGUGAAAUGCGUAGAUAUGUGGAAGAACACCGAUGGCGAAGGCAGCCUCCUGGGACAUAACUGACGCUCAGGCACGAAAGCGUGGGGAGCAAACAGGAUUAGAUACCCUGGUAGUCCACGCCCUAAACGAUGUUAACUAGUUGUUGGGAAGUAAAAUUCUCAGUAACGCAGCCAACGCGAGAAGUUAACCGCCUGGGAAGUACGGUCGCAAGACUAAAACUCAAAGGAAUUGACGGGGACCCGCACAAGCGGUGGAUGAUGUGGAUUAAUUCGAUGCAACGCGAAAAACCUUACCUACCCUUGACAUGUCAGGAAGCUCUUGUAAUGAGAGCGUGCCCGCAAGGGA
rnacentral:rRNA from 1 species